rnacentral:rRNA from 1 species
UACGUAGGGUGCGAGCGUUGUCCGGAAUUAUUGGGCGUAAAGGGCUCGUAGGCGGUUUGUCGCGUCGGGAGUGAAAUCCACUGGCUUAACUGGUGGCUUGCUUUCGAUACGGGCAGACUGGAGGUAUGCAGGGGAGAACGGAAUUCCUGGUGUAGCGGUGAAAUGCGCAGAUAUCAGGGGGAACACCGACGGCGAAGGCAGCACUCUGGGCCGGUACUGACGCUGAGGAGCGAAAGCAUGGGGAGCGAACAGG